rnacentral:rRNA from 1 species
UACGUAGGGUGCGAGCGUUGUCCGGAAUUAUUGGGCGUAAAGAGCUCGUAGGCGGUUUGUCGCGUCGACUGUGAAACUGGGGGCUUAACUCUCAGCUUGCGAGUUGAUACGGGCAGACGUUGAAGUUCGGUAGGGGAGACUGGAAUUCCUGGUGUAGCGGUGAAAUGCGCAGAUAUCAGGAGGAACACCGGUGGCGAAGGCGGGUCUCUGGGCCGAAUACUGGCGCUGGAGGAGCGAAAGCGUGGGGAGCAAACAGG